rnacentral:rRNA from 1 species
UACGUAGGGGGCGAGCGUUGUCCGGAAUCACUGGGCGUAAAGGGUUCGCAGGCGGUCUACCAAGUCCGAUGUGAAAGGCAUGGGCUCAACCCAUGUAAGCAUUGGAAACUGGUAGACUUGAGUUAAGGAGAGGUAAGUGGAAUUCCUAGUGUAGCGGUGAAAUGCGUAGAUAUUAGGAAGAAUACCGGUGGCGAAGGCGACUUACUGGACUUAAACUGACGCUGAGGAACGAAAGCGUGGGGAGCAAACA